UUGACCCGUUGUAUAUAGUGGAUCCAACUUAAGUGAAUUGACUGAAUGACCCGUUGUAUAUAAUGGAUCCAACUUAAGUGAAUUGACUGAAUGACCCGUUGUAUAUAAUGGAUCCAACUUAAGUGGAUUGACCCGUUAGUUUUGAGCAAGAGAGAGAAGCUCUCUCUUUUGGUCCUCUUCAGUUUCUCGGCAGUUUCGUCGGCUUUCUUUUGUCGCUCCUGUAUGGCCGUCCUCUGCCCCAUCCGAACAGGGGAUGGCCAGUUCUUCUCCUGCCCAGAGAGUGGGUCCCCACCCAGUAAAUAAGUGAUGGGGAUGACGGUGUGGAGCUCUAUCAUCUCGAAUCUACACCCGUUUCACCAGCAUGUGCUUCAGAAAGCUUCUGAUCUAUAUUGGCUAUGAAUGGUUGUGUUUUAUGCUUGUUGCAGAGUAUCUCGAGGAUCACUAAGUCGCUUCCAUUUGGUUCCGGACGGUUGAUUCUUCAGGAUAAAGAAUACCGGCGAGCUCUCUCUGCUUCCUUUUUUCAGCCCAAGCAUUUUUGUGGCCAUGGUGGUUGAUAUAUUUUUUUGGCUUCUGUGCUCUUUGGUGACUUAGAUUUUUUGGCUUUUUGGUUGAUUGAUUCUUCAUUUGGUUUACCUUCUUUCUUGGACAUAUAUUGUUGUUUCUCCUCAUCAGCAAUUUCUGGCCAUUGCAACAACAGAACCAGGAAUCUGCUCUCCUCAACCAGUUGGGUUUACUUCGAGCAAGGCUAGUGUUUAACUUGUAGGCCUUGAGUCAAGGUUAGACCUUACGUUUCUAACUUGUUUAGCCUUCAGGUGAGAAGCUUUUUCUUGUGGCUUGGGUGUCUAGUUCUUGGUCAAUGGGCUAGGUCUAAUGGCCCUUUUUAAUAUAUACUAGCGUUAUUCAAGGUGGUUUGCAACUUGUUAUAUUUAUUAUAUAUAAUAAUUUUAUAUUAUUAUUUUUUAA